rnacentral:rRNA from 1 species
AGCGAACGCUGGCGGCAGGCUUAACACAUGCAAGUCGAACGCCAUCUUCGGAUGGAGUGGCAGACGGGUGAGUAACGCGUGGGAACGUACCCUUUGGUUCGGAAUAUUCUCGGGAAACUGAGAGCAAUACCGGAUAAGCCCUACGGGGGAAAGAUUUAUCGCCAAAGGAGCGGCCCGCGUCAGAUUAGGUAGUUGGUGGGGUAAAGGCCUACCAAGCCUACGAUCUGUAGCUGGUCUGAGAGGAUGAUCCGCCACACUGGGACUGAGACACGGCCCAGACUCCUACGGGAGGCAGCAGUGGGGAAUUUUGGACAAUGGGCGAAAGCCUGAUCCAGCAAUGCCGCGUGCAGGAAGAAGGCCU